GUAAUCAAAAGCUUAUUAAUUGUAAGCCAGUAUGAAGGAGUACUCUUAAAAUUAUUUUUUUUAGUGUGAAAUUGAAAUUAAAAGAAGUUAAAAAAUUAUUCUUGCUUCAUUAGACGAGAAGACCCUAAAAACUUUUUAUCUUAAUAAUUUUUUGGGGAAAAUAUAAAAGAGUUUUCUUUAUUAGAAAUAAUCGAAAAACUAAAAAAUAAGUUACUUUAGGGAUAACAGAGCAAUUUCUAAUCAAAGAACAAAUUAAAUUAGAAUAUUGCGACCUCGAUGUUGGAUUCUUGAAUCUGUGAGCUGCAGAAGGUGGCACAGAAUAGACUGUUCGUUUUUUUAAUCAAG
rnacentral:rRNA from 1 species